UCCCUUCAACGAUGCGGCAGAAAAACAAACGCAAAUUACCUGCCACAACAAAGAAGAAGAAAAAAAAAAUAAAAGCUGAAAAACCUUCAGUCAUCGAUGUCAUUAACAAUAAAACCGCGCAAUAACAAAGACUCAUUUUCCAACGAACCCAACAACAACAAAAACGACGACUAUACUUCAACGAUGCUCCAAUAUUGCAUCCAGAAUGGUUUGGUUUUGGUUAGCAAGCAAUUUUCAAGCUCAAAUUCAUUUCAAGGCUCCUUUUUCCUGCUGAUGUCGUCAUUUGUGUCAUUGAUGUUCGAAAGAGGGGGGCUUAAAGUAGAAAAGUGCUGGGAGGGGUUAAAUCCAGAAUGCAGCAAAGAUGCCACACAAUCAGGUGGAAUGCAAUAGAAAUUCAAUCCACUUCAAUUAGCCGCUGAAAACUAUGCUAAUUUUGAAAGAAAUCCAAUUUUACGUGUGUGCUUCUUAUGUUUUCAGGUAAGGAAAUCAAAUUAAUUUAUGAACCAGUUGAACAAAAACUUGUUUGGCCAUCGAAUUCACUUGUUCCGGAUCUUUGGUGCCAAGAACUGAUGAUAGUACCGCGGCUAAGAUACCCUGUAGCAAGCGAGAAACCAUUUACC